GUGCCAGCCGCCGCGGUAAUACCGGCAGCCCGAGUGAUGGCCGAUCUUAUUGGGCCUAAAGCGUCCGUAGCUGGCUGCGCAAGUCCGUCGGGAAAUCCACUCGCCCAACGAGUGGGCGUCCGACGGAAACUGCCUGGCUUGGGGCCGGAGGACUCGAAGGGUACGUUCGGGGUAGGAGUGAAAUCCCAUAAUCCCGCACGGACCACCGAUGGCGAAAGCACUUCGAGAAAACGGAUCCGACAGUGAGGGACGAAAGCUAGGGUCUCCAACCGGAUUAGAUACCCCUAGUAGUCC
rnacentral:rRNA from 1 species